rnacentral:rRNA from 1 species
CAGUCGCCGCGGGAAUACAGAGGGUGCAAGCGUUAAUCGGAUUUACUGGGCGUAAAGGGCGCGUAGGUGGUUAUGUAAGUGAGAUGUGAAAUCCCCGGGCUCAACCUGGGAACUGCAUCUUAUACUGCGUAGCUGGAGUGCAGUAGAGGGUAGUGGAAUUUCCGGUGUAGCGGUGAAAUGCGUAGAUAUCGGAAGGAACACCAGUGGCGAAGGCGGCUACCUGGACUGACACUGACACUGAGGCGCGAAAGCGUGGGGAGCAAACAGGAUUAGAUACCCCUGUAGUCCCUGUCUCUUAUAC